GGGAUGACACAGUAGGAUAAGCUAAGCACACUGUUGGUUAUGUGUGCCCAAGCAUUGAGGCAGUCAAAGUAGGCAAAUCCGCUUUGAUAAUGCUGGGAUGUGAUGGGGAGCGAAAUUUAGUAGCGAAGUAGCUGAUUUCACACUGUCAAGAAAAGUCUCUAUCGAGGUUAAAGGUACCCGUACCGCAAACCGACACAGGUGGGUGAGGAGAGUAUCCUAAGGCCAGCGAGAGAACUGUUGUUAAGGAACUCGGCAAAAUGACCCCGUAACUUAGGGAUAAGGGGUGCCACCAUCAGGUGGCCGCAGAGAAUAGGCCCAAGCGACUGUUUACCAAAAACAUAGGUUUCUGCUAAGUCGCAAGACGAUGUAUAGGAGCUGACGCCUGCCCGGUGCUGGAA
rnacentral:rRNA from 1 species